rfam:Candidatus Levybacteria bacterium RIFCSPLOWO2_01_FTLL_38_21 rifcsplowo2_01_scaffold_4609, whole genome shotgun sequence.
CGGGGUGUAGUUUAACGGUAGAAUACGCGGCUGGGGGCCGUGUGGCUGGAGUUCGACUCUCCGUACCCCGA